UACGUAGGUGCGAGCGUUGUCCGGAAUUAUGUGCGUAAAGAGCUCGUAGGUGGUUUGUCGCGUUGUUCGUGAAAUGCCACAGCUUAACUGUGGGCGUGCGGGCGAUACGGGCAGACUGGAGUACUGCAGGGGAGACUGGAAUUCCUGGGUGUAGCGGUGGAAUGCGCAGAUAUCAGGAGGAACACCGGUGGCGAAGGCGGUUCUCUGGGCCUUAACCUGACGCUG
rnacentral:rRNA from 1 species